GAAGUUGUCUGCCCUGUCGCUUUUGUGCUGAGCAGAAGAGGAAAGUCCGGGCAACACAGAGCAAUUCGCUUCCUAAGUGAAGUUAUCCGUGAGGAUAAGACAGCGUAGAAGAAAAUAACCGCCUCCAUGGAUGGGGUAAGGGUGAGAACGUGAGGUAAGAGCUCACGACGUGUGGCAGUGAUGUCAUGGGUGUGCGCUGCGAAUGUUGAAAGUUCAUGUAUACCAGUGCCUGAGGGCUGCUCGUCCGACACGGAACUGCGCUGGAGGGUAGAACGAUAGAGCUUGCUGGUGACAGCAAGACCAGAUAAAUGGCAGGGACCCUGUGGGGGACAGAACUCGGCUUAUAGGACAACUUUUUUU
rnacentral:RNase_P_RNA from 1 species